CCUACGGUGGCCAGCAGUGGGGAAUAUUUCACAUUGGGGGAAACCCUGAUGCAGCGACGCCGCGUGAGGGAAGAAGAUAUUCGUUUUGUAAACCUCUAUCAGAAGGGAAGAAAAUGACGGUACCUGAGUAAGAAGCCCCGGCUAACUACUUUCCAGCAGCCGCGGUAAUACGUAGGGGGCAAGCUUUAUCCGGAUUUACUGGGUGUAACGGGGGCGUAGACGGCAGUGCAAGUCUGGAGUGAAAGGGGGGGGCUCAACCCCCGGACUGGUCUGGAAACUGUACGGCUGGAGUGCAGGAGAGGUAAGUGGAAUUCCUAGUGUAGCGGUGAAAUGCGUAGAUAUUAGGAGGAACACCAGUGGCGAAGGCGGCUUACUGGACUGUAACUGACGUUGAGGCUCGAAAGCGUGGGGAGCAAACAGGAUUAGAUACCCCAGUAGUC
rnacentral:rRNA from 1 species